AGGGUCAUGCCACCCUCCAGGCACUGGACUUUGUCUGACUUCAGGAGCUAAGCAGGGUGGGGUCUGGUUAGUAUUUCAGGGGAAAACUGAUCUAUGUCCUUU
rnacentral:rRNA from 1 species